GCUGCUGCUAAGUCGCUUCAGUCGUGUCCGACUCUGUGCGACCCCAUAGACGGCAGCCCACCAGGCUCCCCCAUCCCUGGGAUCCUCCAGGCAAGAGUACUGGAGUGGGUUGCCAUUUCCUCCUCCAAUGCAUGAAGGUGAAAACUGACAUCUCUGCCGCCCACACCCACACCCUGCGGUCUGUGCUGCCAACGGCAUCUCCUCCGCGACUCUAAGCUCGGCGGCUGCCAUCUUCCCCGUGGACAUCACUGCAGGCCCAUCACCGUCUGGCACAGUCUCUCCUGCCAUGUCUGCCACAGAGGAGCACGACUGGAUGCCAGUUCCGGUCCCAAAGUCUGUAUUAUACUUCACGAAAGAAGCGAGUGAUUAUCAGUAUGAAGAGUCUGAUGAAGAGGUCCAAGAAGCUGAAGGUGAGGAGGAGGACAGCGAUAAAAAACCAGAAGAAGGACCUGGAAAGGACCUGGACCCAGCAGAGGACAGCCCCGGAGAACCCAGCUGUCAAGCAUAGAAAGACAUGAUGGAGGAAGAAACAAUGGACGUGUCCCUCACGAAUGAGAUUUUCGGCUUCUCAGUAGCCAGUGGGAAUUUUAUCAACACUGGUUUUGUUCCAGAUUUCAUCAUGUGAAAUGUCUUAUCCACUGACAUCUGACUUUUUUUCUUACAUUUGUCAGAUAUAUUUGACUGCGUUUGUUCAUGAUAAAAAUAAAAAUUUGCUAGCCAUGGAUAAGCCGCAGAUUUUUCUGAUGUGUAACACUGAUGCAAAUCUUGUAUCUUUUUGUUUUUG
ensembl:lncRNA